rnacentral:rRNA from 1 species
CAGUCGCCGCGGGAAUACGUAGGGUGCAAGCGUUAAUCGGAAUUACUGGGCGUAAAGCGUGCGCAGGCGGUUCGUUAAGACAGAUGUGAAAUCCCCGGGCUUAACCUGGGAACUGCAUUUGUGACUGGCGGGCUAGAGUAUGGCAGAGGGGGGUAGAAUUCCACGUGUAGCAGUGAAAUGCGUAGAGAUGUGGAGGAACACCGAUGGCGAAGGCAGCCCCCUGGGCCAAUACUGACGCUCAUGCACGAAAGCGUGGGGAGCAAACAGGAUUAGAUACCCCCGUAGUCCCUGUCUCUUAUAA